AGUGAACGCUGGCGGCAGGCCUAACACAUGCAAGUCGAGCGGCAGCGCGGGGGCAACCCUGGCGGCGAGCGGCGGACGGGUGAGGAAUACAUCGGAAUCUGCCUUGUUGUGGGGGAUAACGUAGGGAAACUUACGCUAAUACCGCAUGAGACCGUAAGGUGAAAGUGGGGGAUCGCAAGACCUCACGCGACAAGAUGAGCCGAUGUCGGAUUAGCUAGUUGGUGAGGUAAAGGCUCACCAAGGCAACGAUCCGUAGCUGGUCUGAGAGGAUGAUCAGCCACACUGGGACUGAGACACGGCCCAGACUCCUACGGGAGGCAGCAGUGGGGAAUAUUGGACAAUGGGCGCAAGCCUGAUCCAGCCAUGCCGCGUGUGUGAAGAAGGCCU
rnacentral:rRNA from 1 species